GACAGAGGAUGCAAGCGUUAUCCGGAAUGAUUGGGCGUAAAGCGUCUGUAGGUGGCUUUUCAAGUCCGCCGUCAAAUCCCAGGGCUCAACCCUGGACAGGCGGUGGAAACUACCAAGCUGGAGUACGGUAGGGGCAGAGGGAAUUUCCGGUGGAGCGGUGAAAUGCGCAGAUAUCGGGAAGAACACCCGUGGCGAAGGCGGCACUCUGGGACGGUACUGACGCUGAGACGCGAAAGCGUGGGGAGCGAACAGG
rnacentral:rRNA from 1 species